ACUAUACAUUGAACCUAAUGUUCUGGGUGCUGUGGGAUACAAGAAUGAAGACCUUACAUUUCUCCAGGAUUUUAAUGUUGAGUAAAUAUCUCCCUCAUAACAACCUUGUGAAAAUAAUAGUACAAAUUCUAUUAGGACCAUAUAGGGGAUGAAGAAUAUCAGAAAUGAAAUUAUAACCAAGGGAUUUGCACUCAAGAAGCUUACAAUCUAGUAAGUGUAGAUAGUAUGACCUAUUCUGCUUGGGGGAGGAAUAAUAAUAUCUGGCAUUUAUAUAGCACUUGAAAGAAAUUAUCUGUUUUAUAAAAAAUAAGACAUUUCUAGUUUAUAAGUACAAACUAUGGUCCAAGCAGUGUGUUAAACUCUGAGAAUACAAAAAUAAAAAAAAAAAAAUCUUUGAUACAGUCUAAUGUUGUCUAAUAAUAACUUCAGCUAUAAUAUUCCCCUUUUAUAGAAAGGAUAAUUGAAAAUGCUUCAAGUCACUUAUUCAUGGUCACUAGGCCUGUAAAUGUCACAUCUGAACUCAAGUUUUCUUUCAGAUCAGGAAUGGUUCAUGCUAUAAGACUAAAAGAGAUGUUAACAAACUGGAGGCAUAUAUGCUCACCCCCAGCUACUGUUGGUCUCUCACUAUCCAUUGUUGACAACCACUCCAGGUAACUACUGGACUAGUACAGGAAUCUUAACGGUAGGGAUCAGAGAGGGUUUCAUGGCAACUGUGAUUUUUGAGUUGGUCUAUCAAGAAUAAAUAAAAUUUAGGAAGGCAUAGGAUAGAGAGUACUUUAAACAGGAAGCAGCAAAAUAUAAAGGUUUGACAAUGGGAAAGCACAUGACUUUUUUGAAAAAUGGUGAAUAAAUAGUUCAGCUUGACCAGAACAUAAGGUAAGAAGCACAGAAAAAAAUAGGUUGGAACACAUUGUAGAGGGCUUUGAAUGGUAGACUAAAAGAUUUGAGAAGUAAUCGAAGAGAGAGAAAAAUCCCCCAAAAUUUUUGUAAUAUCCCAGAAGCUAAGGGAGAAAAAGAUUCUUAUGAGAGAGAGGAUGAUAUGAUUCAGAGAAGAUGAGAAGGAUGAGACCUGAGAAAACACACAUGAUAUGGUAAUUAUGAGGUCAUUGGUGACCUGCAAAAAAAAAAAAAAUCAGGUAAGUGGAAAACCACAUUGUUAAGGAAUGAAUGGGAGAUGAAGAAGUGGAAGCAUAAUGAGUUUAGACAACUUUUUUGAGAAGACUGAAAACAGAAAUAUUGGAUGGUAUCUUAAAAAGAAAUGCUGAAGAAACUGAGACUUGGAGACACUGAACAGCUCCUUCAGUAACACAAGUUAGAAAAUAUUGGAGAGAAGACAAACUCUUUUUUCUCUUUGCCACAGUUAAUAAUACAUAAGAUUUUUAUGUACCAAAGCCCCAUCAAAUCUUAGGAUAGUGCCAUGUAUGGUGACAUUCUCCAUAAGUACAAAUUCAUGAGGGUGCAUCAUAUCAUUCCAUUGUGUAAGAACUUAUAAUGGUUCCCCAUUGCCUAUUAUAUUAAACCCCAGAUUAUUAAAAGUCUGAUAGCAACCUUUCCUCUCAAUUCCUAUUUCCCAUUACUUCUUAGCCAAGACCUCUCACUCUAAGCAGAUUGUUUUCUGCACUACAUACACAUGUAAUUUAUUUUUCUUUUGAGUCUUUGCUCAAGUCUGUUUUCUGUCCAGGAUUGUACACCUCUCUACUAUCUAGCAGUCCUAAUUCUUCAUUGCUUUAGAUGCCCAACCUCUAGUGUGAGUUUUUUUGGGCCUAACUCUGGGUUAAAGUAAUUAUUCCUUUCCUCUUGGUUCAUACAACACUUCAACAUCAGGUUGGUACCACAUAGUAUCUUGCAAUAUCUUAUGUACUUUCUUAACUUUACUUCUAAGAAUGAGGUCAGAGAUAAUGAUUUCUUUCUUUCUUUUUUUUUAAAGUUUACAUUUCUCAACAGUCUCUAGUAUAUUAGGCACAAAAUAGAUAUUGAAUAUAUACUUGUUAAAUGAAAGAGAAUCACACAGUAAGUUUCAGAGGCUGGAUUUGGACUUACAAAGAGAUCUUCCUCACACAGGCCUGGAAAUUAUUAGCAAGUUUUUGUUGCUGUUAAGCUUAUUAUUUAAUACUUUGUAUAUCCCACCCAUUCCACCUAGUUAUGUCCACUGGAGCCAAGUAAAGAAAGAGUCCACUCCAUCUUUCACAUGAAGGAUUUCAUGUGGAUGAUUCCAUGGCAGAAAUAUGAAAGUCAAGCUACAUUGAAGGAAAGAAAAUCUAAGAUUGCAACAUCAGACAUCAGGUGACGUGGCAAAGCUGGUGGUGUCUUGGCAGACAGAAAAAAGCAGCCUGAAGCAAGGGAGACUUUAGGGGAUGCGCGUGACAGUCUCCACCUUGCUGUAUUUCUUGGUCCAAGAAUAUGACUUUUUUUUUUCUCACAGCCAAUAAGGUAAUGUGCAAAUUUAUGUUGACUGUGGAGAGCUGCCAGGGAGUUCUCUGACUGCUGUGUGAUUGGGACAGAUGUUUCUGGAUGUCAAGCAGGAUGCAUAUGGAUUACAUUGCUGCCUGAGGUCAAGCAUCCCUGAUGCUCCCUUUCAUUCAUUCCUGGAGAUGUCAAUCUGAGAGGACUAUCCUCUGCACACUGGUACCUACAAAAGUCUUCGGUUUCCUUUGCUUUCCUUCUGUCACUCUGACAAACCAGAGAGUGGGCAACAGAUGAAGAGCAGCAUAGAAAGGACCCGCUCAUACUGUUGUUUUCCCUACUGAAAACCUAAGCCAGACUCUCAAGAAAUUAGCUUCUGGU